AGGGUUAAACACUAUGGGAAUAUC
rnacentral:siRNA from 1 species